UUGGGAAUCUUGGACAAUGGGGGAAACCCUGAUCCAGCCAUGCCGCGUGAGUGAUGAAGGCCUUAGGGUUGUAAAGCUCUUUCGCACGCGACGAUAAUGACGGUAGCGUGAGAAGAAGCCCCGGCUAACUUCGUGCCAGCAGCCGCGGUAAUACGAAGGGGGCUAGCGUUGUUCGGAAUUACUGGGCGUAAAGCGCGCGCAGGCGGGUCAUCAAGUCAGAGGUGAAAGCCCGGAGCUUAACUCCGGAAUAGCCUUUGAAACUGUUGAUCUUGAGUACGGGAGAGGUCAGUGGAAUUCCUAGUGUAGAGGUGAAAUUCGUAGAUAUUGGGAAGAACACCAGUGGCGAAGGCGGCUCACUGGCCCGUUACUGACGCUCAGGCGCGAUAGCGUGGGGAUCAAACA
rnacentral:rRNA from 1 species